GGGGUUUUGAGAAUUUGAAAAUUAUUGAACAGAUGCAUUUGAAAUUUUGCAAAAGAAUUUUAAAAGUUCGAAAUACUACACCCAAUUUCAUGGUGUAUGGAGAAUUGGGAAGAUUUCCUCUGCAAAUUCGAGUUAAAUGUAGAAUGAUUUCGUAUUGGUGUAAAGUUGUAAACAAUAGCAGUAAACUAAGUAGUUCUUUGUACAGGCUGAUGUUAUCAUUGAAGAAUCAUGGCCAUUAUGUUUUCAAAUGGAUUGAUUCUGUCGACUCAAUAUUUAACAACACUGGUCUAGGAUAUAUUUUCAUAAACCAAAUUGGCUUUUGUGAUAAAAAUUAUCUUGAUCGUAUAUUGAGUGAUCAGUUUAUUACCUCAUGGUUUGGCGAUAUAGAAAAUUCAUCCCGGGGACAAUUUUAUGGGACAUUCAAAAAAGACUUUGGACUAGAAAAAUAUCUGAUCAGACUAUCUGAACAGAAUAGAGGGUGGAUAACUAAAUUAAGGACAUCGAACUUACGUAUUCCAAUCGAGACAGGCCGUUGGCA
rnacentral:lncRNA from 1 species